rnacentral:rRNA from 1 species
UACGUAGGGCACAAGCGUUGUCCGGAAUUAUUGGGCGUAAAGAGCUCGUAGGCGGCCUGUUGCGUCCGCUGUGAAAUCCCGGGGCUCAACCCCGGGCCUGCAGUGGAUACGGGCUGGCUGGAGGCAGGCAGGGGAGAACGGAAUUCCUGGUGUAGCGGUGAAAUGCGCAGAUAUCAGGAGGAACACCGGUGGCGAAGGCGGGUCUCUGGGCCGAUACUGACGCUGAGGAGCGAAAGCAUGGGUAGCGAACAGG